ACAAAUAAAUCAAAACUUUCAACAACGGAUCUCUUGGUUCUGGCAUCGAUGAAGAACGCAGCAAAAUGCGAUAAGUAAUGUGAAUUGCAGAAUUCAGUGAAUCAUCGAAUCUUUGAACGCACAUUGCGCCCGCCAGUAUUCUGGCGGGCAUGCCUGUUCGA
rnacentral:rRNA from 1 species